UGAGCAAUCUGCCCUUCUCUUUGGAAUAAGCGUUGGAAACGACGUCUAAUGCCGAAUACGACCUCCUUUCGCAUGAUCGGAGGUGGAAAGCUCCGGCGGAGAAGGAUGAGCUCGCGGCCUAUCAGCUAGUUGGUGUGGGUAAUGGCCCACCAAGGCGACGACGGGUAGCCGGCUUGAGAGGGUGACCGGCCACACUGGGACUGAGACACGGCCCAGACUCCUACGGGAGGNAGCG
rnacentral:rRNA from 1 species